CACAGCAUUAAAAUGUUAAAAUCAAAAGGGUUUGGGCACUGAGGUUAAUUCAACUGCUAAACCUUUUGUUACCCCAUCCGCUGAAAUGUCAUUACUUGUACUUCCCAGAGCUCGGGGCACAGUAACCUGCAUGGUUUAGAAGGGAAAACUGAGGCACUGAAGCAACUGGCAGAGUGAGGCAGUGACUCGGUGGCAAAGCUGGAACUGAAACUUCCUGGGAGGACGAUGGCAAAAGCAGCCCAAGCCGUCGCAGUAGUGUCUCACGGCGAGCGAGCGGCUCGGUGGAGGAGCUCCUUACCGAGUCCUCCUGUCAGCCGGGCAUGUCGCCAGCAGUACGGGAGGGUCUGGCUGGUGCUUAUCUCUGCCUUGUUUCUUGUGGAGAAAUUACGUAGGCUGAACGAGCAACACAUGCCAGUCAGUGCAGAUGGUUGUCUGUCUUACUCCUCCUCUCGCUGA
rnacentral:lncRNA from 1 species